rnacentral:misc_RNA from 1 species
AAGCUGGCACUACUGCCUUCGUAAAGCUCUCUUUGCUUCUUCUCCAUUUCGGUAUUGAUUCUGGAACGAUCCUUAAACCCUAACCCUAAUUUCACCUCACUGUAAAAUAAAGGCGUCGUCAGCUCACCGCCACGGCCACCGGCAGAAACAUACACAGUGUCCUGGACUUGCACCAUUAAAUUGUUUCAUGCUUUAACGUAUUGCCGCAAAAGAAAAGGUGUCAAUCCACGGGAGCAGUAUUCAUCAGCCUACGAUGUUCUUGAGGAUCAUGGGCUUCCCAUGGGCCUACUCCCUAAGGGCGUUAAGGAUUUCAGAAUCGAAGAUACGGGCCAUUUCGUGGUCCACUUGGAUCAGGCUUGCA